UACGUAGGGGGCGAGCGUUGUCCGGAUUUAUUGGGCGUAAAGAGCGUGUAGGCGGCCAGGUAGGUCUGCUGUGAAAACUCGAGGCUCAACCUCGAGACGUCGGCGGAAACCAUCUGGCUAGAGUCCGGAAGAGGAGAGUGGAAUUCCUGGUGUAGCGGUGAAAUGCGUAGAGAUCAGGAAGAACACCGGUGGCGAAAGCGCUCUGCUAGGCCGCAACUGACACUCAUGGACGAAAGCUAGGGGAGCGAACAGG
rnacentral:rRNA from 1 species